CAGUCGCCGCGGUAAUACGUAGGUGGCAAGCGUUGUCCGGAAUUAUUGGGCAUAAAGGGCUCGCAGGCGGUUUCUUAAGUCUGAUGUGAAAGCCCCCGGCUCAACCGGGGAGGGUCAUUGGAAACUGGGAAACUUGAGUGCAGAAGAGGAGAGUGGAAUUCCACGUGUAGCGGUGAAAUGCGUAGAGAUGUGGAGGAACACCAGUGGCGAAGGCGACUCUCUGGUCUGUAACUGACGCUGAGGAGCGAGAGCGUGGGGAGCGAACAGGAUUAGAUACCCCGGUAGUCCCUGUCUCUUAUAC
rnacentral:rRNA from 1 species